GGAGGGGGAGGUCUUCGCCCUGCAGGCAUUCUCCUUUCAAAGGCAGGAUUUUCAGGGACAUGACGCCUAAGGGGCUCUACUGGGAACAAAGGGCUCUGCUGUACACUGGACAGGCCAGAGUGCUGUCCAGGAGGGACUGGCAUCUCUUCCUGACAUCUCACCCCCAUUCCAGGAGACCCUGGAGCAGGAAUCCCAGAGAACUCAGCAGGAGACUUUCAGAGGAGCAUUUAUUUGGCAAAGUAACAGCCCAGCUGUUUAUCCACAGCUUCCUCCCUCCUGGCAGCAGUCUCAUCCCACAGCCUGCUCUGCUGAUCUCUUCCAAGAGACAUGGGCAGCGUCUGCAACUGAACCCAAGAUCCCUGGGAAACUCGACAGCCGCUCACCCCCACAUGCUUUCUCCUGGCUCCCCACCCCGAAAAUGCACUGCCAUGGACCAGAGGAACGCUUCAGUGGCCAGCCACUGACAUCCAUGAAGACCACCCGAGGAUAAACUCACAGAGAUGCCUCCAAGAAGCCAGACAAAUAAGUUACCAAUCCCAAAGUGAAGGCUGGAGGAGAAAGGGGCACAAAUCUGUGAAUAAAAAAAGUGUACAGUGAUCAUCAUGGGGGAUGAAGAGCAGGGGCAUGGAGGUGAUGUGGAUGGACAGCCACUGCUUGUUUCUGAGGGACAGCUGUGUGAGGCAUGGUCGGGGUGGGGGGGUGGCAAGCACCUCCUCUGUGUACACACAGCAGACUCAAGGGUGGGG
ensembl:lncRNA